UACGAAGGGGGCUAGCGUUGCUCGGAAUCACUGGGCGUAAAGGGCGCGUAGGCGGCCGAUCAAGUCAGGGGUGAAAGCCUGUGGCUCAACCACAGAAUUGCCUUUGAUACUGUUCGGCUCGAGACCGGAAGAGGUAAGUGGAACUGCGAGUGUAGAGGUGAAAUUCGUAGAUAUUCGCAAGAACACCAGUGGCGAAGGCGGCUUACUGGUCCGGUUCUGACGCUGAGGCGCGAAAGCGUGGGGAGCAACAGGAU
rnacentral:rRNA from 1 species